rnacentral:rRNA from 1 species
GACGAACGCUGGCGGCGUGCCUAAUACAUGCAAGUCGAACGCUUCUUUCCUCCCGAGUGCUUGCACUCAAUUGGAAAGAGGAGUGGCGGACGGGUGAGUAACACGUGGGUAACCUACCCAUCAGAGGGGGAUAACACUUGGAAACAGGUGCUAAUACCGCAUAACAGUUUAUGCCGCAUGGCAUAAGAGUGAAAGGCGCUUUCGGGUGUCGCUGAUGGAUGGACCCGCGGUGCAUUAGCUAGUUGGUGAGGUAACGGCUCACCAAGGCCACGAUGCAUAGCCGACCUGAGAGGGUGAUCGGCCACACUGGGACUGAGACACGGCCCAGACUCCUACGGGAGGCAGCAGUAGGGAAUCUUCGGCAAUGGACGAAAGUCUGACCGAGCAACGCCGCGUGAGUGAAGAAGGUUUUCGGAUCGUAAAACUCUGCUGUUAGAGAAGAACAAGGACGUUAGUAA